UAGUAAAAAAACAUUAAAAGCCCAAAAAACACUAAAGCCCAAAAAUUCACUAUAACCCAAAAACAAAAAAAGAAGGGAACCGUGAAAAGACAACAAAAAAGUAACCAAAAAAA
rnacentral:sRNA from 1 species